UAGGGAAUUUUCGGCAAUGGGGGCAACCCUGACCGAGCAACGCCGCGUGAGUGAAGACGGCCUUCGGGUUGUAAAGCUCUGUUGUAAGGGAAGAACGGUAGAUAGAGAAUAUCUAAGUGACGGUACCUUACCAGAAAGCCACGGCUAACUACGUGCCAGCAGCCGCGGUAAUACGUAGGUGGCGAGCGUUAUCCGGAAUUAUUGGGCGUAAAGGGUGCGUAGGCGGCCUGUUAAGUAAGUGGUUAAAUUGUUGGGCUCAACCCAAUCCAGCCACUUAAACUGGCAGGCUAGAGUAUUGGAGAGGCAAGUGGAAUUCCAUGUGUAGCGGUAAAAUGCGUAGAUAUAUGGAGGAACACCAGUGGCGAAGGCGGCUUGCUAGCCAAAGACUGACGCUCAUGCACGAAAGCGUGGGGAGCAAAUAGG
rnacentral:rRNA from 1 species